UCGGCACGACCCAGGUUCCAUGCUACAGGCCUCUACUUGUCCAGACCUGAGGGUCAGAUUCAGAUGGUGCAAAUGUUUAAGACCUGGGUCUUCAACGAGAUGAAUUAUCAGCUAUUUCAUAGCUGCAGUGUUGGAUAUGCCGAGACGAUAAAAGCAACAGCAAUCAGAAUCAACAGUUGAAACGACAUGGCAGACGCUGUGAAUGCUAUGAACUGCUGUGCUGAGCAGCAGGAUUCCUGUGUCCUGGCGCAAUGCCCAUGGGGAUUCAUGCUUUCAGAGGGUCACGCCUCAGGAACACGUAGAAGGGCAAGCAUUUCAUCUGGCAGGGCACUGAUUUAAUCUGCACGCAUGUUUGGCUGUAAAACUAGCUCCUCCCCCUUACCAUUUUUGAGUCGCUGCCGGACUCAAAUUCCACAGAUUCUGGAAGGUGUCCAGGAACUCGUUGAUUUGUCAAACUUAUGGCUACACACAGCUGGAAUGGAGACGGACUCCACUGAGGAGACUCAUACAGGACAGGAGGGAAUUUUAAGAGGAUAACCCUGGUAUUCCCUGGCCAUUGAAAUCAACUACUUGUGUCAGAAUACAAAGCUACAUGAGAUGUGGUCCUUGUCCUCAAUAAGCACACAAGUCAGGGAGUUGGAGGGGAGAUUAUGAGUAAGGAAGAGAUACAGAGGUGAAGAGGGGAGGUGUCCAAGCUGGAGGAUUGAAAACAUCAAACCAAACCUGAAGCACUGAGAGGUUGGGUAACCAGCUCUGGUCACUGAGUUGGUGAGGGAUGGAUUCAGAAGAGGUCUCCAAUUGUGACACCGCAGAGGACCUGCUCUUGGCCACUACACUCUACCAGCUCUGCAAGAAGGGCUUCCACACUUUUCAUCUCAGACCCACAGAGCCAGUGUGUGCGGCUGAGGUGCUCAGACUGGCAGGUGAAAUGACUUCAUUAGUGCCCUGGGGAAGAAAAUAGGGCUGUUUUGAGGAGAUGUGGCUGAGAAAACAGAAAAAGAGAAUUACAGGCCUGAAAUCCCAGCACUCUGGGAGGCUGAGGCCCCUGGCGCUGGUUCUCUCUGGAGGUUGAGUUUCCGUGGGGAGAGAAGAGUGCCCAGCGUGACCACCGUUGGCUGACUUCCCAUGCCUUAUUCCUUGUUUCCCCCGCUGGGGCCCAGCCCACCAGCCCCGCAGUGCAUGAAGCCACUUAUCACCACGGUUCCCAGAGAGGACGGGCUGGCCCAAGUCUGCAUUGUCACCUGCUCUGGGGAAAACAAAGCC
rnacentral:lncRNA from 1 species